rnacentral:rRNA from 1 species
AUUGAACGCUGGCGGCGUGCUUUACACAUGCAAGUCGAACGGCAGCACGGGAGCAAUCCUGGUGGCAAGUGGCAAACGGGGUGAGUAAUACUUCGGAACGUACCUUUUAGUGGGGGAUAACUACUCGAAAGAGUGGCUAAUACCGCAUAUGUCUAUGGAUGAAAGCGGGGGAUCGUAAGACCUCGCGCUAAUUGAGCGGCCGAAGCAAGAUUAGGUAGUUGGUAGGGUAAAGUCCUACCAAGCCUGCGAUCUUUAGCUGGUCUGAGAGGACGAGCAGCCACACUGGGACUGAGACACGGCCCAGACGCCUACGGGAGGCAGCAGUGGGGAAUUUUGGACAAUGGGGGCAACCCUGAUCCAGCAACGCCGCGUGAGUGAAGAAGGCCUUCGGGUUGUAAAGCUCUUUUGUUAGGGAAGAAAUCUUCUAGGCUAAUACCCUGGGAGGAUGACGGUACCUAAAGAAUAAGCACCGGCUAACUACGUGCCAGCCGCCGCAGUAA